rnacentral:rRNA from 1 species
GCAAGUCGAGCGAGAAGGUAAUGAAUGAUUCUUCGGAUGAAUGAUUUACUGGAAAGCGGCGGACGGGUGAGUAACGCGUGAGUAACCUGCCCCAUACACAGGGAUAGCCAUUGGAAACGAUGAUUAAUACCUGAUAAUACUAAUGAAACACAUGUUUUGUUGGUCAAAGAUUUAUCGGUAUGGGAUGGACUCGCGUCUGAUUAGCUAGUUGGUAAGGUAACGGCUUACCAAGGCAACGAUCAGUAGCCGACCUGAGAGGGUGAUC